GUGGUGAAAUCUUCAAGCUUAACUUGGRAACUGCCAUUGAUACURUYUAUCUUGAAUACUUUGGAGGUAAGCGGAAUAUGUCAUGUAGCGGUGAAAUGCUUAGAUAUGACAUAGAACACCAAUUGCGAAGGCAGCUUACUACACAGUUAUUGACACUGAGGCACGAAAGCGUGGGGAUCAAACAGGAUUAGAUACCCUGGUAGUCCACGCCCUAAACGAUGGAUACUCGACAUUAGCGAUACACUGUUAGUGUCUGAGCGAAAGCAUUAAGUAUCCCACCUGGGAAGUACGAUCGCAAGAUUG
rnacentral:rRNA from 1 species